UCUCAGAGUUUCUGAGUCAGUAGUUCUGAGUGGGGCCUGAGAAUCUGCACUUCUCAGAAGUUCCUGGGUGAUGCUGAUGUUUCUGGCCCAAAAACCAUGCUUUGAGGACCACUGGAAUAGAGUAUAAUGGGAAGGAUCAUUUCUGGGAAAUGAGCUUGGGCACUAGCAGGAUUCAUACCCUGAAAGGCCUUGAUUGGAGAGGCGUGGCCUUUCUCCUGUAGCGUGGUGGAGCACUGUGGAGUUUUAAAUGGGAGGAUGAGUGGUCAGACUUGUAUGUUCGGACCAUCACCCUGGCAGCAUGUGGAAGAUGGGCUGGAUAAUGACAAGAUGACUGACUGUCACUAUAUUCCAGGUGGGACUGAUGGUUUCAACUUCAAUUUGGAUGUCAAAAUGCAUGGGAGUCAGAGACUGAUUGAUUGAGUGUGGGGGCGAGACUCACAAGCCUUCCUCCUCCUCGGGACCCAGGUGUGGAGCACAGCGUGUAGUACUCUCAGUGCCCGUGGCUAUUGCCCUUUCAUGCCCAGAAAGCCACCCGUUUUAUCUGCCUUGUCUUCACAAGUCCGCCUGUGGCUCUAUCUGACAGGUUUCAGCCUGCAGUGUUUGAAGAAAGGGGUGCAGUAAACCAUUCAGAAAUAGGAUUUAUUAAUGGGAGGCAUGUAAUUACUGCCAGACACAGCAAUCUGAAGAGUUUAUGGCCUAAGUGUUUGGUGUCAUUCAUGAAAACAAAGUGGGUUCUUGGCAUGGACACUGUCACCCUGUGACCAGAUCUGUCUGUUUAUGUAAUAGCCCAUCCCCCCAUGUCUGCAAGUUGAGCCUCGCUGAAGAGGCAAAGACAGAUAAAUCACCAGGGCAGGGGUCUGGCUCUGUGGACGAUGGGCCUCUCUCGGCCCCUUGGCGGGACAGGUCCUAGUUCCAGAGCAGGGCUGCUGGAGGGGAUCAUGGCCUGUCUGCUUUUUGUCUCCUGGGCUUCUGACUCUAUAGUAACAAGUCAGCACAGGACCUUUAUGAAGGAUAGUCCUGAACAGUUGUGACUUCUCCAAAGCCUUCCUUGUGUCUAUUUCACAUGUCAGCAGACCCUCACAGAAGCCUGUGAAGCAGGCAACCCAGGUUAGCCUCGCCUCUUGAGCAAUGAGGAGCUGAGGUCCAGAAAGCUUUCACGGGUGUCCUAGAGUCAUAUGGCUGAGGGAACAAGCUUGUGCUGAGCUUCUCUGAAGCCACUUGCACCUCUCAGCUGGGUAGGCCAGGCUGCCUCAGGUCUGCAAUGAGAGCACUGGUUUGUUGUGAGGACAGACCUAACUGUCAGAGGUUCUGACUGCCACAGGACUUGGGCUCAAGCCCAGGACUUCUCUUGGCUAGUUCUGUGUGCUUGGGAAACAUGCCCUCAGCCUCAGUCUCCUCAAAGAGAAAAUGAAGAGAGGGAAGUAGGUCAGCUUCCCUCCAGGGUUCAUGAGGAUGAACGGGCACUGCCGGUCUUAGUACUGGCCGGUCCUCUUUCCCCUGAUGUGUGACCGCCUCUGAGCCUCAUGGAAAGCUGUGUACUACUCACACAGGGAUCCUGACACUCAGAUGAGAUAAUAGAGGGAAUAUGCUCUGGAAAAUCCACAUACACCAUUCAAAUGUGAGGUAAUAAUAGGAAUGCCAAAACAACUCUGCCAAAAAAACCCAGCAACUUUUGAGACGAAAAGCAGACCUGAGUGCUAGAAUCUUCAUCAUUGUGAUUGCUUUUGCACAGAGAAACUUUUCUGCCCUUUCAAACAUCUAUCUCAAAAUGUUAUUUCAUUUUGAGGACUGGAGAGACUGUAAAGCACAAUAUAGGAACCAUAGUAAGCAGUGGGUACAUGAUGGGUAUCAGUAUGCUAAUUAGGAGGCUUCAUUGACUGGAAGCCCUUACAGGGGCCUGACAUCUUAUUUAUCUUUGUAUUCCCUAGGGUCCAGCACAGGUUCUGGCAUACGGUAGGUGCUCAGCAAUUAUUUAUUAAGCUGAAUCAAAUUGGCUUCUCUCAUGUUCCAGGGGUUCUGUGAAGGCAGAGCCUAUGUUUUACUCAUUUCUCUUUCCAGAGCCAAGCCUAGUGUCUGGCACAGAGUAGGCGCUUAGUCAGUUCAGACUGGAUGGAAAUUAAGUACUGUGAAAAAUCAGGCAGACGUUUCUAGUGUCUGCACUGAACCGCGAGGGGAACCCAGGGCUCCAGGUAGGAAAGGAGUCUGGGAUUUGUAGCCUGAGCAGGAACCGGUCAGAUGACAGGCUCACUUCAAAGGCACAUGGUGGGGAGGGAAGAGGAUGCGGUUUCUCAACCGCCUGUUUGGCUGUGUGGGAGCUUCAGUCCGCAGCAGAGGUGGGGCAGGGGGAGGUUGGCAGCAGAAUGGAGACCACAGCCAGGACUAUAGAGAUGGAACAAAUGAGCCAGAGGAGAGGCAGCAGCUCUAAUGGAGACAAAACGUGUUUAAAAUCUCCUUCCCCUCUCUGCAUCUGCAGGACCAAUGUGGCAGUAGCACAUGUGUGCUCGCAUGUGUGUGCUAGAAGGAAAAAAGGCUUUGCAGCCAAAUAAAUCUGAGAGCAGGUCCUCCCACUGCAAGUCAAACCAGGGCUGUGGGCUCUUGAACAUAUUUUCUCCCCCCUGAAUCUCCAUUCCCUCAUCUUAAAAAAUGGGAUCAGUGAUUCUUACCUUACAGGGUUGUUGUGGAUAUCAAAAGAGUGUUUUGUAAGCAAUAAAACAGCCAUUUAUUAAGCACCUGCUCUCUCCUAGGCACUGAACCUCAUCACUACAUGGAUUUAGUGUGUAAUCCCCUUAAUCAUCUUGAAAAGUAGUUAUUAUUAUCAUCUCUAGUCUCCACUUCAGAACAGAGGAAGCUGAAGUUCAGAGGCAUUGAGUAAUUUGCUCAAGUGAUAGUGCCCGAAAUCCGACUGGAUUCGUUUUCUAAAAAUUCCACGAUCAAUAUGUACACGAUGAUUAUAUUUCUCGAAUUGUUGUCAAGCCUAAAACCCUCUCACAGGGGCAGUUUUUCUUCACUGUCAGCACUUUUCCUCCUCCCACCAUCUCUCUCUCUCUUUUUUUUUUUCAAAAAAUGCAAACUUUGGCUAACCUGGCAGUCGGCAGAAGAAGGGUGACUUCCACUGAGCCAUUUAAACAUGAUUUUGUUCUCUCUGUCCAGGCACUCUUUGGCUUCAAUGGGACAUAGAUCAGGGAAUUAUUUCUAGUAGUUUAUAUGAGGGAAAGUUGCUGAAAGUUAAACUCUUGGAUGACCCAAGAACAUCUGAAAUAUCAAACUAUUCCUCCAAAAGAAAACUAUCAACUCGAGAUUUUUUGGAGUCUUUCUUUGAAGCUUUAGCCAAGUAGGAGACAAAUGUGGACGAUCAGGAAAGCCAAUUAACUUUUAUUGAACUCUACCAUGGGCCUGUGUUUUGAUGUAUUGUCUGCUCGAUCUCUUCCAGUCACCCUGUUUGGUAGGUAUCAUUAGAUCCAUUGGACAAAGACGCUCAAAAGGUAAACAUUUGUCUAAGUUCACACCAUGAUCAUGCAUCAGCUGAGAUUCAGACCCUAGCCAGUUUGGUCCUAAAACACAGGCCCUUUUUACUACUACUCUCUGCUUCUCGGUCUGCUAGUCUGCUGCUGAGAGCUGUUGCUUCCCCUAAACUCCUCCUGAAAGGAACCUGUCUCUUUGUCCUGUACAGCACCAGAAAGAUCUGAAGAAAACUUCGUACCUGCAGAUUCAGAAGGAAAAGCACUUUGGCUUUGGGACUGUAGGAGACCACCAAAAGGCUGCAGCAGCAAACAUGGUUUGAGCUUGAGGGGAGGAACAAGAAAGAAGCAGGGAAGGAGAGUGCCUUCCAGUUCAUUCAAUUCAAAGGGAGUAACACGCUCUAGUGUCAUCUCCUUGAAGAAGCCUUCCUUGAUCACCUCCCUGAAAGAGAACCUCCGAGCUCUUAGCUAUGCAUUUGUUUCAUAACAUACUACAACUUAUUUGCCUGUUUGCUUUCUGUUUUGGUCCUUUAGUAGGAUGUAAGCUCCUUGUAGGUAGGAGCUCCAGCUAAUAUAGCCCAGUGCCUAGUCAGGUACCUGGAAUACAGAAGACAUUCAAUAAAUAUUAUUGGAUAAAUGAAUACAUUUGGGACAAGAAUAAACUAGAUUAGUGUUUGCAGCUUUAUGCCACCACUUAUAAGCUGUCUAACUGUCUAAAUUAUUUAAUCUUUCUUACUAUGGUAUUCUUUAGCUGUAAAGAAGGAUAAAAUACAACAGAGGGUAUUUGUUUAUGUUGUAUGUGGCACAUAAGAAACAUUUGAUAAAUCAAAGCUAUAAUUCAGUCUGAGGA